UGUCCUACGGGGGGCAGCAGUGGGGGAUAUUGCACAAUGGGGGGAACCCUGAUGCAGCGACGCCGCGUGAACGAAGAAAUAUUUCGGUAUGUAAAGUUCUAUCAGCAGGGAAGAAAAUGACAGUACCUGACCAAGAAGCCCCGGCUAACUACGUGCCAGCAGCCGCGGUAAUACGUAGGGGGCGAGCGUUAUCCGGAUUCACUGGGCGUAAAGGGAGCGCAAGCGGCACGGCAAGUCGGGUGUGCAAGCCCGUGGCCCAACCCCGGGACUGCACUGCACACUGCCGGGCUGGAGUGUCGGCGUGG
rnacentral:rRNA from 1 species